AUUUAUAUAGUUUAUAAUAAAACUUUGCUUUUUCUUUGUAAAUAAUAAAAUUCUUUUUUUAUAAAUA
rnacentral:tRNA from 1 species